CCCAAAAGGGAUUCCUUCAGUAAUGGCGAAUGAACGGGGAAAAGCUCAGCAAAGAAAUCAGGGACCCCGGCCUUGAGUUGUGGACUUGAGAGGUAUUGCCAAUGGUGGCGCAGGUGCGGGCCUCUUGGAAAAGGGCACCACAGAGGGUGUGAGUCCUGUUUGUCAUCUGUAGUCCGCCAUGUACGGCAUGACUCCUCAGAGUCACGUUCCUUGGAAUUGGAGCGCGAAGGUGGUGGUGGCUUUCAUCUCAAGCUAAGUAUGGGUUCGAGACCGAUAGCAAACAAGUACCAUGAGGGAAGAUUGAAAAGAGCUUUGGAAAGAGAGUUAAAAGUGCCCGAACUUGCUGAUAGGGAAGCGAAGGGAGCUGACGUUGCUUGGUGACAUAUUCCGCGCAAGAGUAGGAUGGGUUCUGAUUGCAAUCUGCGUAGUGCUUCUUGCCGUGCGUGUCGAUGCCAAGCAAUGAGUGGGGAGAGCACCAGGGAUAAUGAUUGUUUCUGUCCCCGGGUGGCCGAAGGUGCCUGGUCGCAUCCAUUUGUGGGCUGAAACAAAUGGUGGCUGGUUGCAGCGCCCUGUGCCUGCUAGGCAGUUGGGGUGUAGCC
rnacentral:rRNA from 1 species